UACGACUACAUCACGUCGAAACAUCGGUAGACAUACGAUCACCGAAGACAAGCAAUAUCGAGCUAGGUCAGUACCCAGAUGGGUGACCGCCUCGGAAAACCAAGUGCUGUAAG